rnacentral:rRNA from 1 species
UACGGGGGGAGCAAACGUUGUUCGGAAUCACUGGGCGUAAAGGGCGCGUAGGCGGGCUGUCAAGUCUGGGGUGAAAUCCCGCGGCUCAACCGUGGAACUGCCUCAGAUACUGACGGCCUCGAGGGAGAUAGGGGCGAGCGGAACUAAUGGUGGAGCGGUGAAAUGCGUUGAUAUCAUUAGGAACUCCGGUGGCGAAGGCGGCUCGCUGGAUCUUUUCUGACGCUGAGGCGCGAAAGCUAGGGGAGCAAACGGG